GUGUUUGUUAAAGCAAACGGUGUUGCUGCCUCGGCCUGAUCAAGCUCCGCUUGCAAAAAAUGCCCCCACAUGUACCGUACAAAAGGCAUCUAAACUCAUUAAGUAAAUUCCCAAAGAACUAUUAACAAAUCAUUUUGCUUCGGCCAGAGAUAUCAGAUUUAAUUAGAGGCUUCGCAAAUCAUGUAUUGUUGGAGAAAAGAGUCGUUCUGAUUUUAGACUGCGUCUUCAAAAGGAGAAGCUUCUGAAACGCAAACCAAUUGACAUGUGCUUGUGUGGUGCCAGCUCUUCCUGAAGACCUCUGAGCAAAUUCCUUCUCUCUGCUUCCCUCUUGCACUGCGACAGCGCUGAGAUGAAAAAAGCAAAUCCUGCGUUAGGCAGCAGCGUGUCAGACCCGCGACCACUGCG
ensembl:lncRNA